GCAGACAAAUUCCAGCCAAUCAGCAGCAGACCCUCCCUCCUAGACCCUCCCACCUCCUGGACAGCAUCCAUUGUGAAGCUGCAUUCUUAGUGAGCUGUCCAGGAGGUGGGAGGGUCUGGGAGGGAGGGUCUGCUGCUGAUUGGCUGGAAUGUGUCUG